rnacentral:lncRNA from 1 species
AACGCUGCGCAGCAAUGGGGAUUUAAUUUGAAACAAAAAUAAAAUGUGCGGUAAAAUUGGAAAGAAAUAAAAAAAUAGUUUAAAAACACCAUAAAAUAAGAAGGACUAAUUGCACAAAUAGUCCAUUGAAAAUAAAAAGGCGGAUGGUAUAGGCAAAACGGCGCCGUUUUCGUUUCUUCUUUUAAGUUAGCCAAAACCUUAAAAAAAAGUUCUGCUUGUUUCUUUUGUGUUAAAGAACAGUGGUCUGCUAGGGGUUUUUUUAACCCCCUCCCUCCUUGCGCCGCCGUUCGAGCCUAGUGCCCCAUGCCCCGAUUUCGCCGGAGAAGACACCGGCUCGACAACUCCGGCGACCAGGUAAGUCUUUUCCUUUCUUUAUUUUAAAUGAAAAAUAAAAUAAAAUAAAAAACUAAAAGAGAAAAAAAGAAAACAAAACGAAACUAGGAAUCAAAAAAACUCCAAAAAAAACCACCUUUUGUAUUCGGAAAUCAAUAAGUAAAUCUCUAUUUUCUCUCUGUUUUUCGUAUCUAAACUAUAAUCCCCCUCCCUUUUUCAGAUUUUUAAACGGCAUUUAUAGCCGAAAGAAAACAAUCGGGAUAAAAUCUAUUUCCCUCCCCAUCCUUGCUGUGUUUUCGCUAUUAUUCUGUCUUUUGCUGUGCUUGUAUGCUUCUUUUUCGCAGGUUUGGUGGCUUGUUGAGGUGUACGUACGUACGUGGAGGCGCAACUCGCGCGGAGAGGGACCUUAGCCCCGAGUCAUACGGUGAUUGGAAUGCUGGAAGCGGCAGCCAAGGGUUUUUCUAUUUAGGGUUUCAGUAGUUAGGGUAUUUGGAAUUUUGGGCUUAAGCUUUAAUUUUGUUGGGCCUAUAUUGGUUUGGGCCUGGGCAUAUGUGGGCUUGUACAGUUAUUAUUAUAAAAUAUAUAAUUAGGUGAUAGUAGAGGGGACGACGCAUCACAGCCGACCCUUUACUUUUCUUUAGGUUUUAUUUUAUGUUCUUUUAGGUUAAGAUUUUAUUUUUAUUAUUAUAGAUAUAGAUUAUGUAGCCUCAACCACCUUGUUUUAGUUAAUAGGUUUGUUUAUUAUUAUAGUAUAUACUUACGUGGGAAAGGGGAGAGGCGGACAGCCGCCUUAAAACGUUUAUUUUUAUUUUAUUUUCUUUCAAGAAAAUUUCUCCCUUUCAUUCUUUAAUUUUAUAAAUCAAUUUUUUAUUUGCUUUUCGAAAUCGUGAGAAUCGAAACUGUACAUAAUUUUUUUUAAAAAGGGUAUAUCUUAUUUCUCCGGUUAAAAAAUAGACAUUGUCGUCUCACAAAAUUAUAUUGACAUCAAGUAAAAAAGAACUAGUUGAUUUAGUGUUGAUAGACGUACAGUUGGAAGUACCGAAUCAAUCACUUGUCAUAUUUUGUCUAUCGAAUAACACAUUGGUGUGUCCAGUUAAGUAAUUGAUUGGAUCGGUCAAGGGAAAUAACAAUUGAAUCUAAACGAUCUCGCAGUUGAGGAUGUUGGUUUGAGUUGGGCCCUUUCAGUUCCCAAGGCUACUAGAGAACUAAAUCAUGGACGCAUGUUUCGUGGUUAUUCAUCCAAUAAGGGUUAGUUGUUGAGUGUUCUCGUAAUUAAUUUAUACACAGAAGGGUUGGUGGUCUGAGGUAUCCUCCAUCACUAUAACUGACUUAUCAAUUAAAAGAGAAGAUUUGUUAUCAAUGGUCGUUUUAAAACCGGAGCCAAAAUUGAGCCUGGAGUUAGAAUUUAAUCACAUUGGUUUAUUCAAUUUAAUUUUGCUUCUUUUUUUAUUUUUACCGUUAUUUCGGUAUCAAUUAUCUUUAUUAUUUUUAAUUUUACCAUAUUUAAAUUCUUCCUUUUAUUUUUACACAAAUCGUC